CCACGGUUGAAUAAGGUACCAUA
rnacentral:miRNA from 1 species